UGCCAGCCGCCGCGGUAACACGGGGGGCGCAAGCGUUAUUCGGAAUUAUUGGGCGUAAAGGGCGCGCAGGCGGUCUUGUCCGUCAGGUGUGAAAGCUCGGGGCUCAACCCCGGAAGUGCACUUGAAACAGCAAGACUUGAAUACGGUAGAGGAGAGAGGAAUUCCUGGUGUAGAGGUGGAAUGUGUAGAUAUGUGGAAGAACACCAGUGGCGAAGGCGGCUUUCUGGACCGAUACUGACGCUGAGACGCGAAAGCGUGGGGAGCAAACAGGAUUAGAUA
rnacentral:rRNA from 1 species